UAGUUGGAAUUUCUCUGUGAUCAUUUUUAGUUUUUUCCUCUUAGUUUUAUCCUCCCAGUUCACAUUAAAACCACCCAUAAGUAAUGAUUCUUUGAGAUUGCACUCUUUCAAGACAUCUGUGAGUUGAUCAUAGAAAGUGUCAUCUACAGAAGGGGGCCUAUAGUCAUUUACCUUAAAAGACAUUUGCUGGGAUAACAUUAUUUUUAUCCCAACAAAUUCUAACGUGUUAGCCGCAUUAUAAACCACACGUUCACAUUUGAUGUUGUCUCUCACAUAAAAAAGCACCCCUCCUCCUCUUCCAUCAGGUCUGUCUCUUCUGAAACAUUGGUAUCUGGGCACCGUGAACACACUCGCAGGAGUAGUUUGUUUCAACCAUGUUUCAGUCAGACAGAGAAAGUCCAGAUUUGAGUCAGACACAAGAUGAGUUAGCUGAUUGCUCUUUGCAGUAAUGCUUCUGAUGUUAAAAUGUCCACCGUAUAGCCCCCUCAGUUUCAGCUUCAGGUCCCAUAAGACUUUUGCAUGAUUGACAGUUUGGAAGGUUUUGAAUAAUCUCUGCCUACACGGUUUCAACACACAGUGGUGUCAGCAGCCGGUUUUGUGAGAGAGACACUGGACCUAUCAAGGUUUCCACAGCCCAGUAGCAAAAAGUUAUUCAUUGAGACAUCAUGCCUCAUGUUAACAAAGUUUAGUCUGUUAAGGGAGAAGCCCUGCUCAGAAAGUUGCUGCUCAUUCAUCACUGGCACCAGAGGCCUCCCAGACACACUCAGCCACAAAUCAGCAUCAAAGUUCUGCAGCACUCCAGGGGUCACUGGUCCAGGAUUUAGCUGAACAUCUCCGGAGAGCAGGAUCAGCAUGAAGAGGAGACCUGCUAUUCUCUGAAAUGAGGUGGCAGAUGACCGGUCCACUGGAUCAGUGAUUCGCUCUGGUACCUGGGCUCAUCCGUGCUGCAGGACAGAGGAAUAGAUUGCAAAAUAUCCCAGUAAGUUAUGAUGAAAACUCACUGUAAGAGCGACUACUGGCCAUGAGCCAGCAUUUGUCCCAAGCUCAAUCACUAGGUGUCCCAAUGAGUACCAACAGUAGUCCAAAAAGCACUACCAUGAAACACAGCCCAGGUGUUUUUGCUGAUGAAACACUGCUUUGAACUUGACGCAGUUUUUCACAGGCAUGCUUUGUGGUACGAUAAACGGCCUUGGAUGACAAUCCUAUGUAGCAAUCUCAUCCAGGAUCCCAGUGGCCAAAGGGUAGAAGCUCUUCUUAAGACCCUCAGCACCGGCUCGGUGCACCUGGAACCUCCCCUCGACCUGCCCCUAACCGGGCAGUUAGGAACCCUAGAAGAAGGCCAUGAUCGUUUCCUUCGAUGUUGAGAUGGAUAUACAGAUGGUCUUACUUGAUGUUUAAUCUGAUGUUUACAUUUGAUAACCUGGACUGGCCUGGUAGCAGAGUUGGCAGGAGGUGAGCUGACCAUCUCCCCAUCCCGAUGAGUGACCCCCAGUCAUAUGCCAUCACUUCUUGAGUCCAGGGUGCAUGGAGAGGCUCCAGCAUGCGUGGAUUACAUUACCAGCAAGGGAAGGACCAGCACCAGCAGACCUGGAGAUUGCAGGUGAUUUAUAAAAAGAUGCUUCCCUGGUUCCACUCUAGCUGACUACACUGCUUGCUGUUUUGAUAGUUGUCUGCUCUGAUUUCACGCUCUCACUGAAACCUGGAUACACCCAGAAAACACUGCUACUCGAGCUGCACUCUCCACCAACCAUGCUUUCUCCCACACUGCUUGGGC